GGGGAUAUAGCUCAGUUGGUAGAGUGCUUGCCUCGAAUGCACAUAGGCCCUGGGUUCAAUCCCCAGCAUCACCA